GCGGGAGUAGCUCAGGGGUAGAGCACAACCUUGCCAAGGUUGGGGUCGUGGGUUCGAAUCCCAUUUCCCGCUCCA
rnacentral:tRNA from 6 species